UUGUCUCAAAGAUUAAGCCAUGCACGUUCAAAUAUGAGCCUUUACAAGGUGAAAUCGCGAAUAGCUCAUUACAACAGCCAUUGUUUCUUGGAUCUUAAAUUCCUACUUGGAUAACUGUGGUAAUUCUAGAGCUAAUACAUGCAACAAAGUUCCGACGCAAGAGGAACGCAUUUAUUAGAGCUAAACCAAUCGGGGGCAACCCUGUUUGUUUGGUGAAUCUGAAUAACUCAGCAGAGCACAUGGGCUAGUCCUGGUGCCAUAUCUUUCAAGUGUCUGCCUUAUCAACUUUCGAUGGUAGUUUAUGUGCCUACCAUGGUUGUAACGGGUAACGGAAAAUAAGGGUUCGACUCCGGAGAGGGAGCCUGAAAAACGGCUACCACAUCC
rnacentral:rRNA from 1 species